rnacentral:tRNA from 1 species
AUCCCCGUAGUUUAGAUGGAUAAAAUAUCGGGCUACGAACCCGAAGAUCGCAAGUUCGAGUCUUGCCGGGGAUGCCA